AGUGGUCAUAUCACGCUGAAUCACCGGUCCUCGUAAGAUCACCGAAGUUAAGCAACAUCUAACCCUGGUCAGUACUUAGAUGGGUAACUUCGUGGGAAUACCAAGUACUGUUA